GAAUUUUGCUGGAUUGAGAGGUUGUUUAAAUAUAAUAUCAAAUGUUGAACUCCAGCAAAGAUCUCGGGUCAGUGGAGACGGCUAUGAUGGUUUAUUGGACGAGAACGAGAAGCUGAAGAAGGAAAACAAGAUUCAAUCUUCGAAGCUGACCCAGUCGAAGAAACAGUGCAAUAAGCUGGUUUGAUCGGUGCACGCUACACGAAACACUGAAGAGAAAAUAAAAUUUGUUAAAGAUUUGAAAAGGCCAAAAAAUAAAUUAAUAAAUAAACAAAAUAAAAGUUUUUUUUUUUUUGGUGAUUUUAUGUAAAAUGUUGCGAAAGUAGAAGUUUGAGAAUUGUAAAAGGAACGACCCUUUGGUUUCAGAUUGUAUGGGCCUCAAGAAAUUUGGGCUUCCAAGUGAGACCGUAGUACUUCAAAGUUUUGGGUGUUUGAUUAACAAUCAAUACCUAAAAAGUGCAGCCUGCAGGUCCCCCAAAUUCGAUCCUCAAACCAUCCCGCCUGGCUUCAUUCAGGCAAUACGUCGAACACUUUCUAUACCAUAUUUGCCUCACACUCACCGCCCACCCUCAUCGUCUCUCUCUGCCCACAGACGCCUACUAAUAUUACCCAGAAAAUUCUUACUAUCAAAACAACCAGAACCCCUUUCUUGCUUGUUUUAUAGGAUUGAGAAACUGCUAAAUAUGAUGAAGUUUAGUCUGCUUUUCAGAGCUGGAGUGGGGAUGGCUUUCCCAUUCAUAGAGUUGGCAUUUUUCACGCCAUUAACACUUUCAGGGAAGCUCAAUAUGAGGUUGUAAGCUGCUUGGGAGUGGAGUAAGGAACCAAGAAACUAAAGAAUGUCACAAAAUCAUCAGGCUCUUCUUCUUAUGCAAAAGAUGGUGAAGAGCCCACCAUCGAAAGCUCUUUCACUCUUCAACUAUACUACACUUGAAGGCUUUCAACACACAAGUCAAUCCAUAUGCUUUAUUUUAUACCACCUUCUUUCCUCAAAUAUGUUCUCGCAUGCCCAGGUUCUCAUUGUAAAAAUACUAUCUGGUCGAAUCUCCUCCUCAUUCUUCACUCCCUCAUCUCUUAUCCACCAAUUAAUUCAACCCCGUCCUUGUUCAAAUGAUAUCCGUGUUUAUAUCCAUGAAACAAUUGUCAGUGCCCAUCUUCAAUGUCAAUUGCUUGAAAAAGCCAUUUUCUACUUCAAACAGAUGAUGGAUCAAGGCCUCAUGCCUGGAUCAAACACUUUUAACAAUCUAUUGGGUUCUCUUGUUAAGUCUAAUAGUUUUGAAAAGGCUUGGUGUGUUUUUAAUGAAUUUAAGGAUACAACUGAAUUAGAUGCAUAUAGUUUUGGGAUAAUGAUCAAAGGUUGUUGUGAAGCUAGCGAUUUGAAUAAAGGUUUCCAGGUUUUGGUUGAAUAUGAGAAAAUGGGUUGGCCUCCAAACAUUGUGAUACACACUACUUUGAUUGAUGGGUGUUGUAAGAAUGGCAAUAUCGAGGGGGCAAAGAAGUUGUUUUGUAAAAUGGAGAGCCUUGGUUUGGUUGCUAAUCAGUAUAGUUAUACUGUGUUGAUCAAUGGAUUUUUCAAGAAAGGCCUUAAGAAAGAUGGGUUUGAGCUCUAUGAGAAGAUGAAGCUUAGGGGGGUUUCUCCUAACAUAUACACUUAUAAUUGUCUAAUUAAUGGAUAUUGCACUGAUGGAAAAAUUAGUAGAGCUUUUGAUGUAUUUGAUGAAAUGAGAGAACAAGGUGUGGCAUGUAAUGUUGUAACAUACAAUAUUUUAGUUGGUGGAUUAUGCAAGGAAAUGAGGAUUGGGGAAGCUGAGAAGUUGAUGGAUCAACUGUACAAGACUGGUAUCAGCCCAAAUUUAGUUACAUAUAACAUGUUAAUUGAUGGGUUUUGUAAUGCUGGGAACUUGGACAAGGCUUUGAGCUUAUUUGAUCAAUUGAAGUCAAGUGGCCAAUCUCCAUCUUUAGUGACUUAUAAUAUUCUAAUCACAGGCUUUUCUAGAGCUCAAGAUUUAGCUGGAGUUGCUGACGUAGUGAGAGAGAUGGAAGAAAGAGGCAUUACUCCUUCUAAAGUGACAUAUACAAUUUUAAUUAGUGCCUUUAUUCAGUCAGAUGAUAUGGACAGAGCGUCUCAGUUAUACUCAUCCAUGGAGAAGGCUGGUUUGGUUCCUGAUGUUUACACUUAUGGUGUCUUGAUACAUGGGUUAUGCAGUAAAGGUAAUAUGAAGGAAGCCUCAAAGUAUUUUACAUUGAUGAGUGAGAAACAUUUGAAGCCAUCUGAUGUUACAUAUAACAUGAUGAUUUAUGGUUACUGUAAGGAGGGUAGCUCUUACAGAGCCCUGAGAUUGAUCAAAGAAAUGAGUGAGAAUGGAAUGAUCCCGAACAUGGCAAGCUUCUGCUCAACUAUUGGAGUUCUCUGCAAGGAUGGGAAAUGGAAUGAGGCUGAAGGUCUACUGAAAGAGAUGACAGGGUCAGGUUUAAGACCACCCGUUUCCAUCUACAAUCUGAUAUUUAAAGCCAAGAUUAGUCAUCAAUGAAGCUCCAAAGCACUCUAGUAUACUUACAGGAUAUUGAAAAGAACGUCGAGCAUACAACAAUGACAAGAAGAAACCAAUUUGUGGCUUAAAUUGGUAACUAAAGUUGCCAUUUUAAAUUCGGCAUAAAGCUAUCUCAAGGUCAAUAUUGCUGUAAUUCCUAUUGAUCAAGAACACGAGAAGAUGGAAACAUGCAUUUCAGUAAAAGAAGUGGGCAUAAAUCCAGGAUUAUAGGAAGAAGUUCCAAUCAUUGCCUUUUGAAGUAGCAUAAUUAUACUUGAAGGCUGCAAUAGUAAUUUACUGCACCUGCCAUCGCGUUGGAGCUGAAACUCAUUAUAGUUGUUAGAAAAUAAGUCAAGAUGGCACAAGUACUAUUUUCAUCCAGUUUCAGGCCGCCGAUUUCGGUCGAAGAAAGAAGUUCUCUAUUUUCUGGAAACUGGAACACCUAGAAAGAAGAAACAAACAGAGAAUUCUGAUGCUGAAACAAAGGUGAA